GGAUGAGCGAUGAACAGAAGAGAUUAAGCGAAAAUGUGUAGAGAGACUGCAUUGUGGUGAAAGCAGGAGAUGGACGCUUAUGAAGAUGAACUGGGAGCUUUCUUAUCUAAUAGGUAAGAACGAAGACCUCGCGUUAAGAGGACGAGCGUGCACUUAGGUGCAAAUAAAGGUGGUACCGCGAUUAUGUCGUCCUUUAA
rnacentral:ncRNA from 1 species